UUGGAGGGCAAGUCUGGUGCCAGCAGCCGCGGUAAUUCCAGCUCCGAUAGCGUAUAUUAAAGUUGUUGCAGUUAAAAAGCUCGUAGUUGAAUUUCGAGAUCAGUACGCUGGUCGUGCCUUUGGUAUGCACUGGUGUCACUGGUUUCUCCCUUCUGAAGAACUGUCAUGCCAUUCAGUUGGUGUGGCGGGGAAUCAGGACUGUUACUUUGAAAAAAUUAGAGUGUUUAAAGCAGGCUCGCGCUUGAAUACAUUAGCAUGGAAUAAUGAAAUAGGACGUUUGACCCUAUUUUGUUGGUUUCUAGGAUCGACGUAAUGAUUAAUAGGGAUAGUUGGGGGCAUUAGUAUUCAAUUGUCAGAGGUGAAAUUCUUGGAUUUAUUGAAGACUAACUACUGCGAAAGCAUUUGCCAAGGAUGUUUUCAUUAAUCAAGAACGAAAGUUAGGGGAUCGAAGACGAUCAGAUACCGUCGUAGUCUUAACCAUAAACUAUGCCGACUAGGGAUCGGAUGAUGUUAAUUUUUUAAUGACUCAUUCGGCGCCUUACGGGAAAC
rnacentral:rRNA from 1 species